rnacentral:rRNA from 1 species
UAGUGAGUUUGAUCCUGGCUCAGAGCGAACGCUGGCGGCAUGCUUAACACAUGCAAGUCGAACGCAAGUAGAAAUACUUGAGUGGCGGACGGGUGAGUAACGCGUGAGAAUCUGCCUUCUGGUCGGGGACAACCACUGGAAACGGUGGCUAAUACCGGAUAUGCCUAUGGGUGAAAGAUUAAUUGCCAGAAGAAGAGCUCGCGUCUGAUUAGCUAGUUGGAGAGGUAAAGGCUCACCAAGGCAUCGAUCAGUAGCUGGUCUGAGAGGACGAUCAGCCACACUGGGGACUGAGACACGGCCCAGACUCCGUACGGGAGGCAGCAGUGGGGAAUAUUGGACAAGUGGGCGAAAGCCUGAUGCAGCAACGCCGCGUGCGGGAA